UACGGAGGGGGCUAGCGUUGUUCGGAAUUACUGGGCGUAAAGCGCGCGUAGGCGGCUUUGUAAGUUAGAGGUGAAAGCCCGGAGCUCAACUCCGGAAUUGCCUUUAAGACUGCAUCGCUAGAAUCAUGGAGAGGUGAGUGGAAUUCCGAGUGUAGAGGUGAAAUUCGUAGAUAUUCGGAAGAACACCAGUGGCGAAGGCGACUCACUGAACAUGUAUUGACGCUGAGGUGCGAAAGCGUGGGGAGCAAACAGG
rnacentral:rRNA from 1 species